rfam:Lactobacillus equigenerosi DSM 18793 = JCM 14505 strain DSM 18793 NODE_81, whole genome shotgun sequence.
UGACAGCUACAACCGCACGAUCACAAGUUUUAAAGCAGCGAUGCUACUUGUUCGGCGAGUCUAAGAUUUAAG